AUGCUACAAUUAAAACACAUAUACUAAAAUUGGAAUGUUACAGAAAUUAGCAUGGCCCCUGUGCAAGGAUAACACACAAAUUCUUGAAGUGUUCCAUAUUUUA
ensembl:snRNA U6 U6 spliceosomal RNA